rnacentral:rRNA from 1 species
AUUGAACGCUGGCGGCAGGCCUAACACAUGCAAGUCGAGCGAGCGGCGGACGGGUGAGUAAUGUAUGGGGAUCUGCCUGAUGGAGGGGGAUAACUACUGGAAACGGUAGCUAAUACCGCAUACCAUCAGAUGAACCCAUAUGGGAUUAGCUGGUAGGUAGGGUAACGGCUUACCAAGGCGGAGAUCACUAGCUGGUCUGAGAGGAUGACCAGACACACUGGGACGGAGACACGGCCCAUAAUCCUACGGGAGGCAGCAGUGGGGAAGAUUGCACAAUGGGCGCAAGCCUGAUGCAGCCAUGCCGCGUGUAUGAAGAAGGCCUUCGGGUUGUAAAGUACUUUCAUUCGGGAGGCGUUACCGACAGAAGAAGCACCGGCUAACUCCGUGCCAGCAGCCGCGGUAAUAC